AAGCUUGAAGACGAGGAUCUUGUAUCCUACAUCCUGGUGGGACUCGACAUCGAGUUCAAUCCGCUGGUUUCCUUAGUUGCUGCAAGACUGGAACCGAUCAGUGUUGGAGAGUUGUACUCUCUACUGGUCAGCUACGAGC
rnacentral:snoRNA from 1 species